GCUGGGUGGAGACUUCAGAGCGGUUGUUCGGAUUACCCAGAACUCUUCUAGUGAAAACAAACCAGACCAAACCACUUCACCGUGGUUGUCACCGCUGCUAGCUUUCAAUGUGUACCACUCGCCACAGGGCCAUUGGAAACUCAGAAGCAGAAGGCCACUGCCUGCUGUGACCGUCCUGCAGCAGAAGGGUCCAUGGAGUGUGGUGAUGUCCCGCACAAGUCUCAAACCAGAGCAACACAGAAGAGGAACAAACAAAGGGGAGACGGAGAGACACAGAGAGAGAAAAAGAGAGAGAGAGAAAAAGAGAGAGAGAGAGACAGAGAGACGGAGUUGUUUGGAAACUCUGCUUUGAGCCACGUCUGCAGAGCCAAGACUCCACCAGGCACGUAUUUAUUUUAAACACUGUUAUUUGGUUUGCGUUUUCUUGUGGUUCCGACAAUGAUAUUGCACGCUUCUUCAAAGCCGGGAGAGCGCUGUGGAAGCACUUUAGGCAAGAGGAUUCCAACCCUUGACCUUUAAUGGCCUCCUCCGGGCAACCCCACUAUGAUUCACAAAGGUGUCUUUAGCCGGCUUUCAAUUCCAGUUGUCCUACAGGUUCCAGGUUGAGUUGCCCAAAUUAAUGGGUGGGGCUGACCUUCAGACAACCAUCCAUCAGCCGUCAGGGAGGAGCCUCUGGGUUCUAAGCCCCGCCCCCUCUCGCCUCUCACCUGCAGGUCUCAAACCCGAUGCUCAGGGCUGCCUCCAUCUCGGCAAUGGUGGGCAGGGUGCUGUUGAAAGCCUUGCAGAGGUCAGCAGCCUCCGUCUUCGAGAUGCUGUAGCGACCGUUUUUCUCCACGUGGAACACACCCGCGUAUCGGCAGGUUAUAUUCAAAUCUGUGGAUGAAACAGAAAUGUUAGAUACUUCUGCAUACAUUACUGCGAAGGGUAAGAAGUUUGUUUUAGGGUAGAUUCAUUAAAAAGACUCAUUUAAGGGGCGCCUGGGUGGCUCAGUCGGUUAAGCAUCCGACUCUUGGUUUUGGCUCAGGUCACGAUCUCAUGGCUUGUGGCUUUGAACCCCACGUCGGGCUCUGCGCUGAAGGUGUGGAGCCUGCUUGGGGUUCUCUCUCUCUCUCUCUCUCUCUC